rnacentral:lncRNA from 1 species
CGCCUGAGGCUGCGAACGUGCAGGUCGGGCUGGUCGGUUAUGCGGGACGAAGCACAGGAACCUCCGUCCGGUGCGGCGUGUGAGCUUUCGGGAACAGGGAACUGAGGGUGGUCAGAAGCCACCCGCUCAGCGCGUUCUGGUUUCUGGCCAACCUGCCGGCAGCUCGAGGCUUCCCUCUGCUGGGCAAGUUUGGGAACACACCGAAAAGUCAUUGCCCAGUAUUGUCUUCCCUCCUCGCUCCAGAAGAAUCAGCUUAUUGUCUCUAAGAAGGGUCCCCUUAGCCUCAGAUUUCAUUCAAAGUCUUACCUUCUGA